rnacentral:snRNA from 13 species
AGCUUUGCGCAGUGGCAGUAUCGUAGCCAAUGAGGUUUAUCCGAGGCACGAUUAUUGCUAAUAAAUACUGUGAGAAAGUA